rnacentral:rRNA from 1 species
UACGUAGGGACCGAGCGUUGUCCGGAAUCAUUGGGCGUAAAGAGCGUGUAGGCGGCUAUUUAAGUCCUGCGUGAAAUCCUGCGGCUCAACCGCAGACGGUCGUGGGAAACUGGAUGGCUAGAGUGCGGGAGAGGAGAGUGGAAUUCCCGGUGUAGCGGUGAAAUGCGCAGAUAUCGGGAAGAACACCCGUGGCGAAGGCGGCUCUCUGGAACGCAACUGACGCUGAGACGCGAAAGCGUGG